UACACGUCUGACAAAAGGCUGUGAGUUAAAGAUGAAUUCUCCUGACCACCACUCACAACGAAAAUUAAGGGGCACUAGCAGAGGACUCACGGGCAGGCUAGUCUGACUACUCAAAUCUUGACCCCAUAGAUAACACUCAAUUCUCCCUGCACUUUCCUGGGAGGAUGCAGGUAGGUAUAGAUAACCCCAAACCAAGCUGAAUCAAAGCAGGCGUAUGCAGUAAAACCUCACGUACUUUGACCAAUGAGGGGUCAGAGACAAAGAUCUAGCCUGUGCAAUUUAAGAAGUUAAUUUACAGAGCAUCCUAGAAGAAAGUUUAGUUUAGUAAACUAAACUUAGUAAACUUUAGUUAAAAAAAACACUUUAAUAAAAUCCCCAAGUUACUCCAAAUGCCUUCUUGACAAAGUCCUGCCCUGCUACCCAAAGAUUCUACUACCUGCCAUUAGUGGCAGUCAUAUGAAAGCAAAGCAUCAGCAAGGACGGGACCCAAGUUCACUGAGAAAUAUCACCUGCUCCAGGGCUUUUCAAAUACUGCAAGUAACCAGUUACCAAAGUACCACUCCCAGACCACAGCGCACGUGCCCCCAGAGCUCCGCGUCAGGCUCACGAUCCUUCCCAAGCCACUAACAACUGAUCAGAGCCGGCAUCAGUGUGGAAGCCUGUCUGUCAAUCCUGUCCACGUUCUUAAAAGUGCCUGGGGAGUUUGGUUUGGUGGAAAAAAACAUGGGCAUGAAGGACAAAUAGUUCUCACUCUCACCCUGGUUCAACAACUACCAGAUACACAGGCUUGUGUUAGUCAAACCCUUCUGGACCCGUUUCCUCCUGUUUAAUUCGGUGACACCAGCUCUACAGAAUUACUGUAAACUGAGAAGACACACAGCGGAGUGCCUGGCACACAUUCUCCAUAGGUUUGUGCUUCCAUCUGAGAAAGGGGGUGCCCAACGGUUUGUCAAGCAAUGAUGAGUGUAUCAAAACAAGAGAGAACAUCUAAUCGACAGGAGAACACCUGUUUGUUCUUAGGUACUUCUUGGCAUUGAAUUAUUCUGCAAACAAUCAAUGUACCAAUUCCAAAGGCCCUUUAACUGUUACUGCUUUGGCAGAAUUUGAUAACCAUUCAUAUUUAUUAUUUUAUCUCCUUGAAAAUAAAACGAAUUCUUCCACUGACCUCCUUCCUCCCUCACCUGAUCCACAUCCACUCUGCCUGUUUGCCCUAAUAAGGCUCUGCUGUGCAGCCACCUUUGUACAGCCAUGACAGUUCGGGGGACAGGGUGAGAGAUUAGUCAGGAAAAUAAGGAGAGAGAAGCGCUGGGGAAGCUGAUAUAGGGAAGUAAUAAGUCAGGAAGGCUUCCCAGAGGAAAUCAUAAGAGCUUUAGGAACAAAGUAAAACAAGAUGGUAGAAAAAUGGGCAGGGCAUUCUAGAGGUACGGAGAAAGCAGGGCAGAGAGAGGAAAGAGUUCAGGGGUAAGAGCCUGAGCUUUGGCAUCAGUUCUUAGGCAAGUUACUUAAUUUCGAUUUCUUUAUCUGUGAGGAUUAAAUGAGAAUGCAUUUAAAGCUACGAGGUGGCACAAUUAGAGCUGUGGAGACAGGAGCUUAGAAAUCUCAGCACCGGAAUCUGAGGUAAGACGGCUAUCAAGGUGUAUGUUUGUGGGAAGAGGAGUUCCCAUGAACACUUACUUUGAGAGACCCACACGCCCGAGGAAAAUAGGUCAUACAAGCCUUCAUUCCUUCCAGUGCUGAGAGCUCACUCUGUGGGGAAACAGAAAGUAAGGAAGAGGCCGAGGGCCCAACGCCCCAGACCCUAUUUCCACCCCACCGCACGCCCCUCAGGGUCCCUUCUCCUUAUACUUUUUCUUGGCCCGGACCCCUUCUCACUUCUUCAGUCCUAUUCCCCAAUCACUUCCCAUCACAUUCUUUAACCCAAUGGGUAUCAGUGAGGGCAAGCAAUGCAAUGGGCCCAGGGGAGGGGGACCCGGGCAGGCGUCUCACCUCCGGUCUGAGGCCCAGCAGGGAGGUGAGAAGGCCAGGAAGGUGGUUCAUGGAGAUGUCCCGGAAGAGUGUGGGGAGCUGGGCCGCGUAGCGGAGCAGGUCCCCCAGCACAGCCACGGCCAGCUCCAUCGUGGGGGGCGGGUCCUGGGACUAAAGAGCAACAACACCCCAUGCUCCCAACCUCACCUUCACGGUCACCGAAAGGAGGAAUGAGAGGUAUGAAAACAUGGGGCUUUUGACAAACACCAGUUAACGUCAACAUUACCAUCAAAUCUACUAGGGACAGCGGCUUCCCUGGUGGCGCAGUGGUUAAGAAUCCGCCUGCCAAUGCAGGGGACGUGGGUUCAAGCCCUGGUCCGGGAAGAUCCCACAUGCCACGGAGCAACUAAGCCUGUGCGCCACAACUACUAGGCCUGCGCUCUAGAGCCCGCGCACCACAACUACUGAAGCCCAUGCGCCUAGAGCCCAUGCUCCGCAGCAAGAGAAGCCACCACAGUGAGAAGCCCGCGCACUGCGACGAAGAGCAGCCCCUGCUCGCCGCAACUAGAGAAAGCCAGUGCACAGCAACAAAGAUCCAAUGCAGCCAAAGAUAAAUAGAUUAAAAAAAAAAAUCCACUAGGGACAGAGCGUAUUAGAGAUAUGGAGCAUCCGAAGUAACACAUUCAUCUACAGACAGGACGUGUGUUCACACUUUAGUACUAUGCGCGUCUGGGGGUCCGAGGAAUUUGGGGGGAAAAAAGGUAACAAAGCCAUACUUUAAAGAUCUGCCUGACUAGAGCAUCUCAAGAGUUUCUUUCUGCUCCCAUACUACAUUUCCCUGCUAGGAAUGGAGAGGAGCACUUCUCAGACCACAAGAAAAGUCUCAGCCAAAACAAAACCGCCCCAUCUCGCCAAGCUUGCUUCUGGCUGUGUCAGACCUACCGUGGAAUUCACGGAGGAAAAACGGCUUAAAUUUAUAAAGAAGGACUUCUCUAGAAAAUUAACAUGUAUCUAAGGGAAAAGCCUUCAGCACAUUACCCCCUGCUAGACCAGACGCCACGUGUCAAUGAAACAAACAAGAAUGCUUGUUAGGAAGUCCGACUCAGUGGGCCUACCAACCACAAGCAGGCCUCAACACUGUCCAGCAAUCCUCCUGCACCUCUCGCUCGUUAACUCCCUUUGCUACUCAGCCCCUCUCCCACCACCGUCACCUCCGUAUAACCUAACCUGCAACUUCAGAGAAAGCUGAAGCCCAAAGAUGGGCACUCCCUCAGCUUCCGACCACCAAACUGAAAACUCCACCUCCAUCCUCAUCCCUGCUCUCCUUCCUCCUGUCCCACUAGAGGAGAUGCUCCUCCCAUCCGAGGACAAUCCCUCCUCAGUGCUUUAGAUAGUCCCCCCUCCCUUCUUCACAGAACCUAACCCUGUAAACUGGCCCCCUCUCUCCAAUCCCUUUCAAAAGGAUUCUUCCUACUGACAUUUGUGCAUGCUCCAGUCUCCCCCAUCCUAAAAGUCCUUCUCCUGAGCCCAGACUCCACUUGCCCAAUCUCAGCUGUUGCCCAGUUUCUCCCUCUUACCAGCAGAGCCAGACGUCUUGACAGGACUGCCUACCUUCUCCACUUCCACUCCUUCUCCCACUCACUGCUCAUCCCAGGGCAACCUGGCUUCCGUGUCCACUGCUCCACCAAAAAACACUUUCACAGUCUCAUUACCCUUGAGUUGCUAAAUCUGAUAAAACAUUUUCAGUCCUUGUCUUAUUCCAGCUCAGAAGGGCAUAAAGAGAAAUGACUCCUCCGUCUUCCCUGAAGUAUUUGGAUUCCAUUCAACCCACCAUCCUGGUUAUCUCCUUUCUGCUGCUCUGUCUUGUCUGCUUUUUUUUUUUGCGGUUCACGGGCCUCUCACUGUUGUGGCCUCUCCCGUUGCGGAGCACAGGCUCUGGACGCGCAGGCUCAGCGGCCUGGCUCACGGGCCCAGCCGCUCCGCGGCAUGUGGGAUCUUCCCGGACCGGGGCACGAACCCAUGUCCCCUGCAUCGGCAGGCGGACUCUCAACCACUGCGCCACCAGGGAAGCCCUGUCUCGUCUGCUUUGUAAGCUCAUCCUCCUCUACCUGACCACUGACUGUGGAGCGCCUCAAGAUCCAGUCUGUAUAAGUAUUCAACUUGAUCAUCUGAGCCUCAUCCUCAGCUGCAGCUGCCAUCUAAAUGCUGAGGACUCUUCCUCUUUGUAAAACAUAUUGACUGAAGCCCCCACCACUGAACCCUCAGGGUUACCCUCUGAGAUAUCUGGUCACUUCCACGCACACUAGGUCAAGGGUAUGCUUCCUGGGGGCCUCUACUGAAUGCCCAAGACCAUACUCAUGUUAUUUUCACCACUCCCCUUGGAACCUGGCUGUCUUCCAAUGUUCUGAUACCCGGGAGUCAUCCUGGACACAUCCUUUCCCUGACACUAUUCCAUCAUUAGGACCUGUUGUCUAUUUUGCCUCUAAAUCUCUCUUGAAAUCCCUCUUUGCCUCCAAAUCUCUCACCUACUUCUCAUCAUGUCUCCAGCUGCCGCCCUAGUCCAGGCUACCGUGAAUGCUCUCCUAGGUUACCCUUAGUACCUUCCUCGUGGUCCUUCUGCUGCCAUUCUGGCUCCUUUCUAAUCCUGUCUCACCACAGCAGCCAGAGUGGUAUUUCCAAAUGAAAGUUUGAUCACGUCACCACUACCACCACCUCCUUCCCCCUACUCAAAACCUUCCAUGAAUUCCCACUGUUCUGAGAAUAAAAACCAAACCCCCUAAUAUGCCUACAACGCCACACACAGCCUGGUCCCCAUGCACAUACCUCCCCGGUCGCAUCUCAUUAACCUCAGCCACACCAGCCUGCUUAUAAUUCUUUACAAAUGAGUCAAACUCCUUUUCUCUCAGGACUUUUGCAGGCUUAGAACACUUAGAAAACUCUCAGCCCAGUUCACUCCUACUCAUCAGAACAGCCCUCCCUGAACCACUGACCCUGAUCACCACCCCAGUCUGGGUCAGGUUCUCUCGUUACAUGCUCUCAGAGAACUACAUUCUUUACCUCCAGAGCACCUACUGAAGUUUAUCUUUUCACACUCAUUGUAUAAUUAUUCUCUUUCAGGACUUCCUUGGUUAAGACUCUGCACUCCCAAUGCAGGGGGCCCGGGUCCAAUCCCUGGUCGGGGAACUAGAUCCCACGGGCACGCCGCAACAAAGAGUUCACAUGCCGUGACUAAGGAGCCCACGUGCCACAACUAAGGAGCUGGCAAGCUGCAACUAAGACCAGGCGCAACCAAAUAAAUAAAUAAAUAAAGUAAAUGAAUAGAUUUUUAAAAUAAAAUAAAAAGCACUUAAAAAAUAAAUAUUAUUCUCUUCCACUAGAACACAGAUCAGCAAACCAUGGUCUCUUGGUGCCUGUUUUUGCACAGCCCACAAGCUAAGAAUGGUUUUUAAAUUUUUAAAGGGUUGGAAAACAAACCCACAAAGAAACACUACGCAAUAGAAACCAUGGGAAUUCCCUUGUGGUCCACUGGUUAGGACUCCACACUUCCACUGCAGGGGGCACGAGUUUGAUCCCUGGUUGGGGAACUAAGAUCCCAUGUGUGUGAGGCACAGCCAAUAAAAAACAGAAACCAUAUGGGGUUCGUAAAACCUAAGACAUUUUACUAUCUAUAGACACCUAGAAAGUUUCCCAACCCCUGCAAGAGACUCUAAACACCUGAAAGCAGGGUCCAAGUACAUCUCUCCACCAGAGCUUAGCACACAACCUGCCAUGUGUGCCCAGAACAUGCUUGUGGAAGAACUAAGUGGGGAUGUCAUCAAAGGUUGUAAAAGCAGAAAAAAAUUUAAAUGUUAAGAGGAAGAGAGGAGUAGGGAAAAAAAACACCUGGGGAAUUCCCUGGCAGUCCAGUGGUUAGUAUCCUGCGCUUUCACUGUUGAAGGCACGAGUUCAAUCCCCGGUUGGGGAACUAAGAUCCCACAAGCCACACAGCGUGGCCAAAAAAAAAAAUUAAAAAAAAAUUUGGGGGGACUUCCCUGGUGAUGCAGAGUGGUUAAGAAUCCGCCUGCCAAUGCAGGGGACACGGGUUCAAACCCUGGCCUGGAAAGAUCCCACAUGUCAUGGAGCGACUAGGCCCGUGCACCACAACUACUGAGCCUGAGAGCCACAACUACUGAGCCCACGUGCUGCAACUACUGAUGCCCAUGCCCCUGGGGCCCAUGCUCCGCAACAAGAGAAGCCACCACAGUGAGAGGCACGUGCACCGCAACUAAGAGUAGCCCCCACUCGCCUCAACUAGAGAAAAGCCCACACACAGCAACGAAGACUCAAUGCAGCCAAAAAAAAAAAAAAAAAUUAGUAAACUAUUUAAAAAAAUCAAA